CCUGAACUACAUCAAAACACAAAGUCAGAAAAGUACAAAAAAGUAAACAUGAUGUUUUUUCUUGUUCCCCCUAGUAACUUAUUUGUAUAUCUCUCUUUCAUUUUUAAAAAGUAUUCGAGUCAAAAAGCUUGAACAUGAACAAGCUUUCAAUUUUCACAAAGUUUCAAAAACAAAUACACUCAAACAAAAUUGUAUAUCCUUUCCGCAAGGUAGCUCUGCGAUCACAUAGUUCCUGUCAUUUUCGAAGAAAAGCUCUUUUGACAAAUAAAUGUAAUUUCAAACUAAUAUCAAAAAAUUAUGAGCUAAAUUUAUACAAAAGCUUAGAAAACAAUGCCAUUUUUCAAAGAUUCUAUUUAAAUUGACCACAUGUUUGAAGAAUGGAUCCUUAAAAACCUUGAAAUGGUCUAUUCAAUCGAAAUUUUUAAACAUUUUGACGAAACUUAAUUUUCCAGAAGCAAGUAACGAAGAUUGAAGAAAGUAAUUUGAUAACAAUCAUUCAGAAAAAUCCACCAAUUUACAACUUAUUGCCCAACAAAUAGCUCAACGCUUCUUGGGUUAGUUUUCGUCGUAUUUUCAAGAGCGAACACUAUAUUUAAAUGCAAUUUUUUGACAGUUGUAAAAUGUAUGUUUAGACCGUAUUCUUUAGAAAUUAUUUUUAUAUGUUAAAUAAUUUCUGCAUUAAAAUAAAAAUAUUUCGAUUUUGGUUCUCAACUUA